GAUGAACGCUGGCGGCGUGCCUAAUACAUGCAAGUCGAGCGAACAGAUAAGGAGCUUGCUCCUUUGACGUUAGCGGCGGACGGGUGAGUAACACGUGGGUAACCUACCUAUAAGACUGGGAUAACUUCGGGAAACCGGAGCUAAUACCGGAUAACAUUUGGAACCGCAUGGUUCUAAAGUGAAAGAUGGUUUUGCUAUCACUUAUAGAUGGACCCGCGCCGUAUUAGCUAGUUGGUACGGUAACGGCUUACCAAGGCAACGAUACGUAGCCGACCUGAGAGGGUGAUCGGCCACACUGGAACUGAGACACGGUCCAGACUCCUACGGGAGGCAGCAGUAGGGAAUCUUCCGCAAUGGGCGAAAGCCUGACGGAGCAACGCCGCGUGAGUGAUGAAGGGUUUCGGCUCGUAAAACUCUGUUAUUAGGGAAGAACAAAUGUGUAAGUAACUGUGCACGUCUUGACGGUACCUAAUCAGAAAGCCACGGCUAACUACGUG
rnacentral:rRNA from 1 species